GCUGUUUCAUUUUGGAUUUGGCAGCCUGUCAUCAGGUGGACAGUGUAAGUUCCCGUUCUGCAGACCAAGCCACUUCCCUGGUGUUUCAGAGGCUGUUCCUUCCCAGGGACCAGCUCCCAGGUCAAACAGCACUGCAUCAAUCACAUCUCGAUAUUCACGCUCCUCUGGGAAGUCCUGUGAUGUUCAGAAAUGACUGCUGGCUGCCCUUUCACACACAGAAUUAACUAUUCCCAGUUGGUAAGUGCAUUUCUUAACUCUGCUGAAGCUACGUACAACGUGCAAAAGAAGUUACGAAGAAAACGAUAACACGUUUCAUGUCACUACCCAUAUAUGUAUACACCUUCUCUUAAUUCAUAUGAAUUUUUCAAUUUAUCUAAUUCCUAUAACAUUUUUUUUAGGGUGAGACUGCUUUUAUGAUAAAAAAAUGUCUCUGCAUUUGAUGCAUAUGAUGUCUCUGCCGUUACAGUGCAUGCCGACUGCAGAAAGGAUGAAGAGAAGAAUAUCUCUCUCCCUUUUUUCCGCAGCUGAACUCAGGAAGUGGUGGCCUUCAAGCAGAUCUUGUACUGUUGUAAGAGUGUUGAUGGUGUUUGUGCAGAAGCAUGCAGUGGUGGGGCUUGGGGUUGAUUUUUUUUUAGGUGCUGCUGCACAGUAAUCGUUUUUCUCAUAGCUUUUGUUGCUAACAGAGAGAAGACUGUGUGGGAAAAAGUCCAUUCCCUCGUUUACAUCACGUUCAGGUGAAAAGCAGAGGAGGUGUCGUUAUAGCUUGGUGUCCCUUCAUGUUUUGUAUGUCCCUCACCUGUUUUGUAUCAGGGUGCAGAGAUCUUGGCAUGAGCUAUCUUCUGAGACGCUCUCUCUUCUCAAACCAGUUACUACAUAGUAGCGACAUGCAGACUCAGAAGGAGAAUCCUGAAUUUCCAGCUCUAUUUUUAAUAAACACCAAACCCUUUAAAAGCCGUUGACUGAUGACCUCAUGGGCAGCAUCCCACAGCCUGCAGACACUGAUGGGAGGAGAGCUCCUCUGGGAACAGAGCUCAUCAGCAGAGCACCAGGGACAGGAGCUGGCACCCCAAUGGCACGUGCUGGCCAGGACAUGGAGAACUCCUGCUUAUGGUUCUGGAUUAGAAGAUGCUCAUUUGGAGGAGAACCCUUAAACGUAACUCCCCUAGAAACAAAUGGAUACGCUAUAUGAGUGUGGAUUACUCCUGUUCUGACCAGCAGCUUCCACACCAACAUCCCAGGGACAACUGGCAGAGACGAGUGAAGGUGAGAGAGUGUAAACUCUUGAAUCCUCAGCUGUUUCCAGCAAGUACUUGGCGUGGAGGGAGCAGUUCGUUCCUGGAGCCAGGCCUGGCUUUGGACUGGCCUUCACUUGGUGUGAAGCAGCCAAGAGUUGUUACAGUUAUACCAAGUAUUACCUGACCACUGUUGACUACUGGAAAUCAACAGCCUUCACUACAGUCUCACAUAGAGGGGUGGCAGUGAAGAAAAGUGGCAGCAGCCAUGCUACCCACGCCUGCCUUGCACAGUCAUUCCUGUACUUCGUGUGGAGCUGCCUUGUCUGCAGGGUUUAUGCACACCCAGUGCUAUGACUUCCUGAAAGAUGUAUUUCUGUUGAAUGGCUUGAAUUGAGAAAGUGCUGACUUGUAGAGAAACUGCGCUUUUUUUCCCCCUUGUUUUCUGUAACAUUUCCUUAUCCAUCUCUCUUCAGUGUAGGGCUGGGAUUUCUGGACAGAAAGCUUUAGACACCCAAGCCUAUAACUGCAAUGGACUGGAGUUGAAUUAAAAUCACAGGUUUGCCUAAGAGCAACAUUUCCCACAUCUGCAGUGUGGCCUGGACUAUUGCAGAUAAGAGUGAAGUCUGCCAUUGUACAUCUGUGAGCUUCCUUGCAAGGGGUCCACUUGGGCAUUUUUGUUCUUCAGCACCCUAGAAAUGUGAAAAUGUUUAUUACCAGCAAGCUGCAGUUCAUGAUUUAUCUUGUGGUUAACAGGGUUUAACUUGUGAUACCACUUCUGCAGUAUUUGAUGGGAAAGGCCAGGUACGCUGCUGCUUGAUUGAAGGUGGCUGGGAUUUCCCUCUUCUUUCACUGGGUGCCCCUCAAGUCUGGAGGGGCUAGAUGGACAAGUGCUCCCUUUUAGGGCCUGACAAGAUAGUGUUCUCAUGUUUUUGAAAGCAGUGAUUACCAGAAUUGCUCAAUGUUGUAGAAGAGUGGGACCUCAUGAAAGCCAUGGCCUGAGGCAACGACUAAUUAAUGUUAUCUCAGCGUUGCUGUAUGUGUGUGUGUACCUUUCACACUGCUUGCUAGCUCACUUGUCGAGAGUGAGAAGGAUGUAUGAGAGCAUGAGAAAUCAAACCUAGUUUGUGACUAAUAGAUCUGAUAGGGAUCCCUUAGUAGUUAUCAUACAGCAGAUUCAGAUCCGUCUCAGGAGUUUAAGAACAUAAACAUUAAAUAUAGCCGUACUCUUUGUGGUCUCCUCAUUGAAGUUCUUCUGACAGUAAGCCAGGAAAGCUGUUACUAAUUUAAUGUGAGACUAUUUAAUAGGAGAACUUUCAUCUGCCUUGCACCUGUAUGCUACGGAAGUCUAAAACACGUUGUAGCUAGAUAAGGGGUGUUUAUCUCUUUCCUUCUGAGCCAAUGCCACUGAAAGGAACUAGUUGGCUGAUUCCAGCUAAGGAGCACUGGGUUGGAUAGAAAUUAGUGUACUGUGAAAAGCAUCACUCAAACUGUCUGCAUUGAGAUGUUUUGGGAUCUUUGCAGAAUAUGCUGCUUCCAUUGCAGUUUAAAACACUUUUCCAUGCUAUAAUUAUCUCUUUGUUGUUGUACCCUGUUUAAGUCAAUUUGGUCACUGUUACAGAAGGUUUGUGAAGGUCUGAAAUUGCUGACAUAGAGCAAGCCUUUAGGGGAAGCCACAGCUUGCAAUCUCUAUCGUCUCAAAGCCCAAGCCCAAGUUUUCAAGGCAAUGCCGUGCAUGUAGCCGGAUGGAAGCAUCAAAGCCCAUUGCCCUUGAGUCCAGUUCUUACCAUCCUGCAUUGGCAGUGCUCUGUGGGCACAUGAAAUUCCUCAGCUCCAAGAGAAAGAAGCCAGAGCAUGUGGCUGUCCACAAAGAACAUCUCCUGUGCUUGUUUGCUGCUAGAUUGAUGAGCAAAACUGCCUGUGAAAGAAGCAGACAUAAAAUAAGAGGUGCAUUCUUAUAAACAGCCUGUAUAGAAAAGCCUCAUAACAUGAAAGGCAUAAAGAAGGCAAAAGUGCAGGAAAGUGAAAAACCCCAACCAAAUGAGAAGAACCUCUCAAAUUGCCAAACUAAUGGAGUGGCUGAAACUGCCACGCAACCAAAGACAGGCGUUUUCUGAACAACGAGUAAAGCAACAACAACGACAAAAAUCUUAUGGAACAGAAGGAACUUCAUCAGGUUGAUUUCUCUUGGGUGGUUCCUAACACCAAGCAAGCACUGCUUGUAGAGUGACUGUUCCAAGGUGGAUGAGAAACUCAUGAAGCCUGGAAGUCAGCAGUCACCCUCCCCAUACACACCAUCACACUUUAUAAAAAGCAACCAAACAGCAGACGGAUACAAAAAAGGGGAGGGAGACGGAAAGGAAAAAGGAUGUGAUGAGGAAUUAAUGCCAUUUUUCUUCAGAUGCAUCUUUGCCAUGUGUCAUAUGUAGACAAGAGAAUGUGCUACUGAAGAGGACCUUUCUGGGCUACUCUCAAGAAACUGAGGCAAAGGGUGAUUAGCAGUCCUGUAAAACCAUGCUGGCCCUGUGUUAGCGUCUGAUGGAGGCUGCUGGCCUUUGCUGACAUUGGAAAGAUAAGGGACAGUUCUCUGAAAAGGAAAGAAAAAGAAUGUGAGAGACGGUGCUAAAGACAGGCCACGGUGGAUGAAUUGGUAUCUUGUCAACAAGCGGUCACAUCCCCCUCAUCUUCUGGUGGUUACUAAGCUCACCAGAGGUGCUGGAAAAUGGUAAAUUGCUGCUUCUUCCUCACUGCUUGCUACAUCCCUUAGCCCUUCUGUGUGUGAGAGCUUGGCCAGAUGGUUAUAGGUUUGGAAGGAAGCUCAAAAGCUCUAGGAGGAAAAAGGUGAGCAAGCUGAACAGUGCAAUCCAGUAUUUUGGCUGGGGAGAUGGAGUGUGUUUCUCCAUCGUGCACUUGGUGUAUGUGCCACAUAUCUCAACCUCAGCACGACCAAAUCCCUCACUGCCCACAACUCCCCCUGGAUCGCCCCUGUCAAAGAGCGCAGAACAGAGAUUUGGGGCCUGUUUCAAAGUGACAGGACCACCCCACACCAGCACAGCCUGGCUGUCCCAUCCGUGGCCCCAGCAAGCAUCUGAGGCCUUCCCUCUCUGUGCACCUCACAGUUUGACGUGAGGUACAUGUGGUUAGAAAGUUUGGCCAUCUGGCCAAUGGUGUGCAUUUUGUGCAAGCAGCUGCCAGAGGAAGGGGUGUUACUUGGAGCGAGACCGCUGAGCAGAAUCUGCUGAAAAUACUUUGUAGUCAGCUUUGUGUCUCCCCCACCCAUUUAAUUAGCGGUUAGUGGAGGAGCAGUGUUUUUUUUUCCUGCUGCAUCUAAAGUAACUGUUUGCUGUUUGUGCAGCGCUUUCACCUCUGAACAGCUCGCACCCGAGUCGGUGAGACCGCAGGUGCAGAGAAAACACUGGCAAUCCGCUAUUCCAAACCUGCUCCCUCCGCACGAAUCCCACCACAGAGGGGUGAAUCUUGAAGAUUUGUUAAGUUUUAUUUGGGAGCAGCCCAUCAAACUGAGCUCACAAAAGUAUUCUGUGUGUAUGUCACUGCAGUGGUGCCGGAGAUCCAUCAGCACACAGGGCUAGGGCCUCACUGUACGUUGGGCUGGGGCAGGAGGAGAUAGUCAUCUGUGCACGGAGUGCUUUGAUGUUUGUUGAGAAAAGGAAGGAGCAGAAGCAGGGAGUAACCAACCUCCUUCAAAGGAGCUCUGCAAUGACUUGUGUGGAGCAGUAAAUCACGACGAUCAGUGGUAUGAAGAACCCUCCGAUAAUAGCGCACAGCGUGAUGACGGAGGGCUUGACAGAAGAUUUCUCAAAGCAAAAUUUAUCAUGCUCUCGGCUUUCUACCAUUUUAAUGAGGGAAAUUGCACAGAUGAUGAUUAUCCAAAGAAAUCCAGAUGCAAAAGCUGCCUGCAGCGGUGACCGCAGUGCUUUGGCUUUCAAGGGAUACUUGAUAGCCACGUACCGGUCGGCUGCUACAACAGUGAUGAUGCCGAUGCUCAUUAAGCGGUUUAUGAAAUAGCCACCUUCCAGAAUCAGACACCAUCUGUCCGCCUUCAUCUGUUGGAACUGGGAUAACAUUUUAAAAGGUAAAGUAAAGAGCAGCAAGCAGUCAGCCACGGCCAGGUUGACCAUGUAUACUCUGGUUUCUGUCCACUUGCUGAGCUUGCAGCAGAACACCCAUAGCGCCAACACGUUCAGCAGAAUGCCCAGCAGCAAUAAUGGGAUGUAAACACACAGCUGGACAAGCGGAAAGUUUUCGUCAGCUGUGAUAUUGCAGCUGCUCUGGUUCAUUUUGGAGAUAUUAAGAGGCACAGUUCCUGGAAAAGCAGUUUGUAUUUUUUAGAAGCUAGACUGUGACUGAAUCGGUGAUUAAUCUAGAUAGUACUUCGUGGGCCUCAGAGAUUUACCAGCAGCGAAAAUGAGACCGAGCAGAUGAUGCUGCAGAGCUGAACUGUCUGCAGGGCACCUGGUGGGAAGAGAGAGGAUGGGACGUGAGCCUGGUCAGCUGUGGAGGGGCGAAAAGCAGUUCUCACUGCAUCCCACGCAGGGCGAAUGGCUAGCAAAAGGCAAGGCUGGAGAAUGAUUGUGCUUCUGUUUUGGGCUAGAUCCAGAUGAGCCAGAAGUGGAUAUCCUGCAGCUGAGAGUUAUGUGAACUGUUACAGCUCAUUUGGCAAUGGGAAGGGGAUGCCUAAACUUGGGUCUCAUCCCUCCCGUCAUAGUGGUGCUCACAAGAAGCCAGCCAGCAUCCUCACUGUACAGUAUGCUCUGGGAGAUGUGCUGCAAAGAGACAGCUGUCCUCUCCUUCGAUCCUGUGCUGUCAUCACUUCUUGUUAGUGAAAAGAGCAAUUAUUCAUCUAUCUCUCUUAGCUGCCGUAGAGUCCUAUAGUUCGUCAUGACAUUUUGUAGUCUGCGGCAAGAAUCAGAGAGAGAUCUGUGGGCUGCAUGCUGUCUUUCAAGGAUUGUGAAAGUUGGUCUUAAUCUCUGAAGUAACAGAGCAAUCUGCCAAAGUGCAAGAAAAAAAGGCAUGGCAAGAGAUGCAGUCAGCAGCCAUGUGAAAUACAGUGGUGAGCUGAACAUGAUCUGGUGGGUGUUUUUUUCACCCAACGGGCCAUGCUGCUCCUUGCCUUCCUGCUUUGGAAGAGUUAAUGCAGGAUUAUAUUCUGUGCUGCCCUGCGAGACAUGGUCACAAAAGCCCUGGGAGGUCUGAGAUGUUUGUGGAUUUUCCCUGUGAGGGAAACAUGGCUCUGUGUGUGCAGAUUCUCUAGGAUCCAAAGCAUCCAGGCUAAGCCAUCUCUAGGGCAGUGCUGCAGCCUCUGCGGGAGCUGCAGCUCUCAACCAGCUUUGAAAAUCAUGCUGCCAAGCAAUCCUUCUGUGAGAGAACGUGCACUGUGGGUACCUGCAGCAGCUCUGUGUUUUGGACGCGAGGAACAUUUUGAGACCAGAAAAAAUAAGGGAAAUGGGUAAGUUGUAAUAGACAGUGGGGAGAUUUAGCAAAGGUGUAGGCUGCCCGUUAGCAUCCACAGCAUGUCUACCGUGGCUAGUAUCAAAAUGAGAUUUGCAAAUGCACAGGCUCCAGCCCUCUCCCAGUUUCUCCACCACCACCUGGGUGUCCCACCAUGGAUGGAGAAAGGCAGUGCCUUACAGAGCUCCAGUAACCAUGCCAACAAAUAACCAGGAUGAAUUACCUGCUCGCUCGCUGUCCUUGGAGAGGUCGAAUGUUCCUCGAGUCUGGUUGUGGUGCAGCAUGCAGCGUGCUGAGCCCUCCCAGCAGUGCUCCCAGCAUGUGACCAGUGAGGUGUUCUGCGAUGACCACUUGAAGGUGAUUGUGGCAACAACAAUGCUGGUGGAGGAAGCAUCCCCACCCCUCCCCAGUGCAUUUCCCCGGGGCAGAGCUUCCUCUGCUGCUGCCGCUGCCAUGGCUCACACCACCCCCUAUUGACUGAGAAGCCCAUGUAGUAGCCCUGUGGUAUAGUGAAACAUUCAUCUACCAUGUGGUCCUGCAGACGUUCCUCUGGCGAUGGAAUGACUUCGGGUUUUUCCUUCAAUUCACUUUCCAGUGCCCAAUGCCUCGCUGGCAUCCAUCAACCUUUCUCGCCCAACAGGCUGUGCGUGCUGCCCGAAGAGAACAUGUUGUCCUGGAGGGUCCCUGAGAUCCUCUCUCUGCUGCCUGAUGCUCACUGCGCUGAGCCCCACGACAGAGCAGCCUCGGUGGACUCCUGGUCCCAUUCACCCAGCUGUGGGAGUGCUGAAGUCUAAGUUCUUGUCAACCAGUAAUUCUGAGAAAACCUGGCACUGUGACCCUUUGACCCCGGAAUUCACAUCUGCCCUGUGAUGAAGGCACCUCCUGGCCACGGGCUCCAUGAUAGCCAUCCAUUGUAAGCCCACCUGCAGGAAGAGCUCAGAGCCACACAGGAACAAACGGUGGCAGAUAACACACUCACAGGCUGCUUUGUGCUGUAACCCAGCUUUAACCCUCCAGCCACACCAACACUAAGAACCAACACUGAAGGGCUCAGCUUGUCUCUCUCCAUCCCUUGGAAACUGCUGGGUAAUGCUUGUGUUUGGAUGUUUAAAUGUUAGUGUGAUUACCCUUUUGUUUGAAAUAGCAAUGUUUAUGCACCUCAGUUCAUGCACCUGCAGGGGACACAGGAAUUUACGUAGGGUUGGUUCCAAACAACUGGUGGGAAGAUUCACAGGUGCAGUGCCCUACAAAACUAUGGGAUCCUGAGUGUGGUGGAUGUCUCAGUGAAUGUAGAUGUCAGAAUUAGUGGCUAUGAAUCAUAGAAUCAUAGAAUCCUUAGUGUUGGAAGGGACCUUUAAAGAUCAUCUAAUCCAACUCCCCUGCACUAAUAGGGGCAUCCAUCAGGUUGCCCAGGGCCUGUACCAGCCUUGCCUUGAGAGUCUCCAGAGUCAGGGCAUCCACCAUAUCUCUGGGCAGCCUGUUCCUGUGCCUCACCGCCCUUACCAUAACAGACUUUUUCGUUAUAUGCAACCCAAAUCUCCCCUCUUUAAGCUUGAAACCAUUUCCCCUUGUUUUAUCACCACAGACCCCGCUAAAUAGUCUACUCCCUUCUUUCCUGUAUCUCCCCGUCAGAUACUGAAAGGCCACUAUAAGGUCACCUCGCAGCCUUCCCCUCUCCAGGCUGCACAGCCCCAGCUCUCUCAGUCUGUCCUUGUAGGAGAGGUUUUCCACCCCUGGGAUCAUUUUUGUGGCCAUCCUCUGGAUGUGCUCCAGCAGGUCCAUGCCUCUCCUGUACUGAGGACUCCAUGAAUAGGAGGGUCUGGAUGAACUGAGAGCCAUCAGUCGUGCAGAGAGGCCGUGAAGCCAGCCCUGACUGGACCUGCAGACGGUGGGAUCAGAGCCAGCCCAGAUUUCCUGAUGGCAUCCAUCUAUUCUUCCUCCAUCCCUGCCCCUCCCAUCUGGCUCCUCACCUCCUACUUUGGCCCCUUUGGUAGCCUUUUAGGAAAGAAACAGCAAUGUAGAAGUGCAGUGGAGCACUGCAGUUUUCAAAGAAAUUUUAAAAUGUAUUUAAAGGCCGUGUGUGGUCUAACAGUGUCCAAGUCAUAUGCAAAAGCAACAUGUGACAUGGCAGUAAGGGUUAGAGAACCCACAUCUGAGACCAGUAAGCCUUUCCCAGUAAAACCUGAUACAAAGGGCUCGUGCUGACGUUAGGACACAUCACCUUGUAGAGUAAACGUGGUUUGCACACUGUUUCCACUGCUUCUACUUUUCCUUCUAGCAAAAGGACAUCUCCUUUUUGUACCAACAGGCUGUUUUUUGUACCAACCAGUUACAAGCCUCCUUAGGCUUUACAAAAAGCUUAGCAAAGUGCCAGCCCUGCUUGUUGGAGCUACUGAAAGGCUGCAGCUGCUGCUUCCUGCUGUUGUUACCCAGACUCCUGUGCUGGGAGAUGGCAAAGGUUUGUGCAUCACCACGUUAUCAUCUUCAUGAAUUGCUCCUCCAAUGGACACCAUAGAGAGUUUUGUGUCAUGCUGUAGGAAGGUCAGGGCCCAGCAGACAGCAGUGUGCCAUGCAAUGCAGAUGCAGCCCUGGUCACUCUACAAAUUGUUUUCAGAAGAAGCUUGAUGUGGGUGGGGUUUGCGAGGACUUUCUGUGGAAGUUGUGGUAGAGCUGUGGCUGAAGGCUUCUCAGAACUGCCUUGUGUGAUGAAACGUUGUUUUGGUUUUGGGAAGUCCCAGCAUGAGACUGGGAUGACUUUGGCAGAUACGAUCUGUGGAUUUUCAAAGGGCAUAUUUUGGUUUAUUUCGGAGACCCAGUUGGCAGAGUCCCUCGGGAGGCAGUUCUAAAGGACAGAGGAGUCCAGGAAGGCUGGAUACUCUUCUGGCAUGAAAUCUCGAAUGCACAGGAGCGGGCUGUCCCUGUGUGCCACAGAUGAGUGAGCGGGAAGAAGGCCAGCCUGGCUGAGCACAGAGACAUGGAGCAGAAUGAAGUCCUUGUAAUCCAAGGGGAGGUUACUUGUGACCUGCUACACCAUUUGAGCACACACAGAUCUGUGGGGCCAGGUGGGAUCACCUUAGGGCAGGCAUGUCCAACCCGUGGCCCACAGCCCACACGGGGCCCAGCACAGCCCAUCCUGUGGCCACCCCCCACCCCACACCAUCAUGGCAGCAGCUCUGCCCCUCCAACUGGCAUGACCUGGUCCCAAGCAUGCACCCAUAGCUCAGUAACAACACCAGUGUCCUACCAGCGCUGUCUGGGCUCAAACCAAGGCACGGGGAGGGCACAGAGCAGUGCUAACCCAAGUGACAGCAAAUAAUUGUUUGUAUUUUGAUACACUGGUUAAGCACAGUCCUGAGAACAGAGAAAAAUAUGCAACCGUGCUUUCCAUUCUGAUACAGGAAUUUGAGAAUAGGUUUCAAGACUGCUGAAAAAAAUCUUCAAUUUUUUUUAAUAUAUUCACAAUUCUGUUUUCAGUUGACAUAAAUCACAUUACCUGUGAUUUUUCAAAUGGAAUGUAUAGAGUUGUAAUCAGACAUUCAAGUCAAGGAAAAAUCUGAUCAUGUCUCCUCCAGACCUGGAGAUCUCUCCACGAAGGUGUUUUGAGGAGUGUGGCACUCCGGCUCCUGUUCACUGCUGGUGAAAAUGCAUGGCUGAUGGUGAUGACUAUGAUGAGAAAUAGUGUUUUGUAGCUGAGAAUUUGCUCUGUCAAAUAGUGUUACUGUGCUCCUUGUAGCUGUUGUAGUUUCCAUCGAAACAAAUAGGAGAUGUUACUUGUGGUGCAACCUAUGUAUAUGCAGCUUGAGACAAUUCCUCUUCACUCAGUGCAGCCCACGCAAGCCAAAAGAUUGGACAUUUGUGGACUAAGGUACAGAAUGAGCUGCCAGAAGUGCUCACCAAGCCACUGUCAAUAAUUUACCAGCAGUCCUGGCCAACUGGAGAGAUGGCAGUUGACUGGAGGUUAGCUAAUGCAGAGCCCAUCCACAAGAGCAGGCAGAAGGAUCAGGGGAACCAAAGGCCAGUCAGACUGAAUGUGAGCCAGCAUCCUGGUGAUAGCUGCAGGCAAUGAGAUUUUACAGCGUGGCGGAAACUACCACUGUACUGGCAAAUCCUUUUACACAGAUGUAUUAGGCUUGGCAUUGUACUGGAGUGGCUUUUCCCUUAUUUUAAUGACCAAAAAUUACAGUAGUAGAAGUGGCUUUAUACAUUGCUGUAACAGAGCUAAGUUUCUUAUGUUAAGCUUCAUGAUAUGUACAACAAAGUGCAUGGUCAAAACAAUGGCUUUGUCAGCUAUUCUCUGUACCGUGGGGAUCUCUCUAUUGACAAGGAGACACCCGGACCUGUGAUCCAACUAUUGAAGGCAAUAAUCCGAGCCACAUUUAAGUGUGAGAGCAGCGGGACAAAAUUCAAGUUACUAUCAAAUCCAUUUCUACAGAAAUGCCCAUACCCAGAGCAAUUGCAAGUGGUCCCAUUCCCUCUGCCUCAGAACCUGUGCAGCAGUUUGGUCUCAACAUCUAUAGUGCAGUGUCCUUUUUCUAUGUUAUGACUUGAUCUGUGGGUUGCUGCGACUCUUGGCUUUGGUUCACUUUAGACCUCACUGAUAUACAAGCGGGGAGCAGAGAGGGAAAUUCCUGACUUUCCUUGGCUGCAAAGUAAUAGCAGAAUGCAUCAAGGCAGCAGUUGGAAUUGGCUAAGCACGAAAGGAUCUGAAUAGAAGCCCUAACUUUUGAGAGCAGGUGACAAGCUCCAGCAGCCUCCGCUGCGAGCCGCAGGAUCAGUGCAAUGUAGAUCGGUGAAAAACAUAAGAUGAACACACAGAGAUUCACAGAAAUAAUGUGGAUUGCUUUCUGGAUUAGCUUGGUCUCAUGGAGGCUGCUGGCCAUCUUCUUUCUGAGACAUCUGAUGGCUUGUAUGGAACAAAAAAUGAUAAUCCCUAGGGGAAUAAAAUACCGAAAGCAAAUGGAGAAUGAUGUUAAAUAUGCAGGCUGAGUAGAAUGUUUCUGAAAGCAAUAUUUUUCCCUCUCUUUUUUAAAUAACGUGCUGAAGUAGGAAUAACCUAUUUGCAUUAUCCAAAGAAACCCACAGAUACAGGCUGAUUUCAGUGGGGAUCGAAGAGCUUUUGCUUUCAGAGGGAACUUGAUUGCAAUGUAUCGAUCGAUGGCAAUCAGCAUGAUGAUGAAGAUGCUCAUAGGACUGUUUGUAAAAUAUAUCAUCUCUAUGGAAAAACACAGCUUGUCUAUGGGAUGUUCGUUCUUGGUAAAAUAGAUCAGGAAAGGCAGGGCGAAGAGCAGGGAGCAGUCUGCAACCAUGAGGUUGAUCAUGUACACCCGGGUCUCAGUCCAUCUCUUGAGUUUGCAGCAGAAGACCCAGAAGGCGAUGGUGUUCAGCAGGAGCCCCAGAAUAAGGACUGGGAUGUAGACAAUCAGCUGAAAUAGCAUGAUGGCAUCCUGCACCGCGCUGCUGAUUGUUGUGCAGUUCUUCAGGGUGGCCAUUCUCUGCAAGAAAAGGGUGCAGGUGACAGACCAAGCUUGGGUACAAGUCACCUGGGCCGGGUCCCACAGCAGUGCCCUCAGCCAUGGCUCCACGGCUCCUGGCUCCUCUGCACCGCGUGAGUCAGGGCUGUGGGUGGGACAGGGUGGCACACAGCUCUCCUGGGGCCCUGCACGUGCACAGGAGUUGGGUUUUUGGGGAUGCAGACCUGCAGGGGCUCAGUGGCUCUUCACAGCAGCUAAAAAAAAACAGAAGCAAACCUCUCCUGCAACUACUGUGGGCCAGCAACCCAUCUGACUGCAGGCCUGGCUUGUCCACCCUACAUCCACCUUCUCACAGUUUUGGUAACAGCAGAGGGUCUCCAAAGCAGGACGAUGACAUGUAGUCCCUUAUCUCUGCCACUUCUGUGUUUUUUAGAGACCCAUUGACUCUCUUGCUUUAGGACAGCUCCAAGCAGAGCUGGGCAGCAUCCCAGCUUUGCUUUACUGCAAAAGCCACCCGAUGGGUUUGUUGGGUCUUGCUAUGCCCAUGGACCCACACAAGGACUCAGGUCCUUCCAGCUGUGGGACAGCUCUGGUGGCUUUACUCCUGGACCGCAGCUGCAGGCUGGAGCACAGCGUGUGCCAUGGGCACUGCCACUCCUCCUGCAGGCUGCAGGAGAUGUAUGGCUUGGCACCAGGAGGGGAAAAUGAGCACAUGUCUGAUCUCAGCCUUCAACAUAGGAAGCCAAAAUGUUGCCAGAGCAGAAAACACAAAUCCAAGAUUCUAGCCUAUCUCCUGCUGCUUCUAUAAAUAGGUCGGGGCAUCUGCUACUAUCCACUACCAGCAAAGACCACGGAGGGUGAAUCAGACUCAGACUGCAGUUACAAAAAAGCACAAAAAGAAAACAGUCAGAUUCUCAUCAUCUGUUGUAGAUACAUUGCCUUAUAAGUCAGUGGCUUUUAAGCCCUAAUAUCUAAACUGUGGAGAAACACUCUGACUGCCUGAACUACAUGGACUUUUUUUAGUGCCCAAGACUGGAAGUUGGAUCCGGCAAUGCCAGAAGAAAGCUCAGCACCUGCCCCAGUGCCAGAGCUGGGGUGGUGUUACAGAGACACGACUUUCAGAACGGAAUUUAUGGAAGGGCUGACAUGCAGCCUGUGUCCUGGCUCCUGUGAGCUUCCAGCUUCCCAGAUCCUUGGCUGCACAGUGCUAAAAUCCACCCUACAGCUGUUCCCUGGCAGCCUACUGUCACCAUCCUGCAGUGGAAGUGCUGCUUUCUGCUUGCAAAUAGCUGCCCCACCUAGCAGCUGAGCCCCUGAAUCCUUCACGUGAGUGCUGAGCCCGCAGCAAUCCCCUGGUCCCAUGCCUCAGUGUGCCCAGAGCAGGGCGUCCCCUCACAGAAGGUGCAUGGAGAGGAGUGGUACAUGGCCACAGCAUGGGAUGAAGACCUCCCUGGAUAGCACAUCUGGCUGCCAAACAGCAGAGCAGAUCUGUGAAGGCAGGAGGAGACUGAGGCACCUUCAUACCUCUGCUACCAAGUGGGGAGCCAUGGGCAUUGCUUUGUGAAGGAGCUCAGGAAACAGAGCACACUGCCACACAUCUGUGCAAGAAGAAUUAAAAGUUACCUGCUUCCUGUGGGGCUGUCCUCGGGUCGGGUCUUUGGGCACGUCGCAGUGACUCAGGAGAUGCCAGGGCUGUGGGUGCUGCGGGGUGAUGCUGUGCUGGGCAGAGCUGCCCAGGAGUCUGCUGCUGACAGCUCGGGAGCGCUGAAGCACAGCAAUGAACUCUUGUUCCCCAAAAGUGCUUCAUUUACCACCUCCUCUUUAGGACGGCCGAGUCUCUGGUGCCCUCUGUUGUUCCUCUCCCAUCAGCUCAGUGCUUCACCACCAUCUGUUUUUGCACCCAACCUGCUCUCCCUCUGCUUCCAUGCACGCGAGCAAGCAAUUAAAAUUUAAUAUUUUCAGUGGUUUGAAAACAAAUCCUUUAUAAAAUAAAACCCACAAUGGUUGCAAAUUGCCCAUUUGGCAGCAGAAGGACCCCCUGGGAGCCCAGCAUCCCCUGCUGCCUUGGGUGUGGAUGCAGAGCAAGCAAGAGGGAGAGGCGGUGGCUUUUCCUGGGGGGCACAUCAGUGCUUGUACACCUGCAAAGGUGGGCUCAGAGCAAGGGUCCUGGCAUGUUGCUCUUUGGUUUUUUUUUGCAAGAUGGAGGUAGAUGUGGUGGGACCACUUGUCUUCUGCAUGGUGCUUCUUUACCAUGGCGCAUGGAUGUGAUGGGAAAGGCCACACCAGAAAUGGCAGUCAUGGCCAACCAGGCACAGGUGGGAGACACUGGCAUGGAGGGAAGAGUUCUGUGGGUGUCAGGAGGUGGUGAAAUCGUGCAAAUAGGCGGGGAGGGCUCAGGACACAGCAGGACUCCCUCACAGCAGUUCCUGGUGCUCUGCUCUCUUCAGGCAGUGCCUGGGCAGCACUUGGCAGCAGUUACUGAGAUUUGUCAGUGUUUAGAAAGAAAAAAAUCCUUUCUUAGGCAGCAAAGAAGAACACACAGGGGAUCAUCCCACCGCCCCCCACCUCCACCCCCCCUUCUGUUCUCCCCACUGACUUUUCUGGGCUGCUGACUCGUAGCACAAAUGCAUUAUACCCAUGGAAACGAGAGAGAUGACGGUGGGACGUGAGAUGCCAGCAGGGCAAACCUGGGGUCCAGCCUGGCACCAUCAGAUUGUUUUAAUGCAAGCAAGCUGAGAUACACCAUGAGAUAAAGCACAGUACAGACUUUUUGUUUGUUUGUUUGUUUGUUUUUGGCUUUUGUGUUUUAGAUUGAGUUGACUUUAGUUGCAACCUGGAAUAAAACAGGGUGACAUACACGGGCCACCCUUCUUCCCAUAAGAGCGACACAUGGAGGGAAAGGGAACAUGUUAAUGCACUGCCCUUGCAGACUCACCUUGACAUCUCUAUGUAAAACAAUUUAUCAGCUUAAUACAAACAUGGAGUAGAAAUUGCAUCUUAACAAUGAUACACAUAACAAAGCUCUCCUUGGAGUGAAAGGGGGAUGGUUAUCCCCGUAACGGCGCAGCCAUAUCUUCUCUUGACACUGUAGAAUUUGUUGGUUCCGCUGUGGUUUCUUUUUGUUUAGUUUUUCCUUUCUUUAGUAAACGUGUGUCUGCACAGAACGCGUUUGCGUUGUUUUGGCAGUGCUGGACUUGGGCAGCAGGAUGGCUUCCUGGAACUCCUUGGUCACAAAGUAGUAGCAGAUGCUGUCCAGGCAGCAGUUGGACGUGGCAAUGCACCGCGUCAUGGAGGAGAAGUUCUUCACAAAGUGGUUGAAGGAACAGGUUUCAGUGUGCUCUGUUACAAGCCUGGCAAUGACUAUGAGGUGGGACGGCAGAAAACACAGCAGAAACACAACCAGAUUGGCAUAAAUGAUGUAAAGAGCUUUCUGGAUUGACUUCUCCUCCAGUGCGUUUGUCUUCAGCUGUUUCUUAAGGUUCCUGAUGAUUUCUAUGGAACAAAAGGUCAAGGUUGCUAAUGGAAGAGUGAAAAUGAAGAAAAUGGAGAGCAGUAUCAGAGCGGUGGGCUUGCUGGUGUCGUACUGAAAGCAGAAGUCAGCAUAUCUCUGCUGAAAGUUUAAGAUGGUUCCAGUGGUGACGGCAAGCCACAGGAGCCCACACAGAAGAGCAGCUUUGGAUGGAGACCUGAAGGCCCUAGCUUUCAGGGGGUGCUUUAUGCCGAGGUACCGAUCGAUGAAGAUAAAUGAAAUGACGUAGAUGCUCACUACCAUGUUGAUGAAGUACAUUGCCUCUAUAAACUGGCAGAGUUCAUCUCGGACCGAGUUUUUCCAGAUCAGAUAUGCCAUGAAAGGCAAGAUGCAGAUGACAAAGAAAUCGGCAAAGACCAAGUUGAUGGCGUACACCUUGGUUUCUGUCCACUUCUUUAUUUUGCAGAAGAACACCCACAGGGCAAGGACAUUAAAAAUUGCUCCAAAAAAGAAAGUGAGGAUAUAUAUAGCAAAUUCAAUGAGACGAACAUGGGGAUUCACCUGUAUGUCUGUGAGAUUGCAGCUCUUGGACUCAUUCAUUGUCCUGGUAUGUGGAUGGCAUGUGAUGGUCUGAGACCUGAAAUGGGGAAAAAAAUGGUAAGACCCUCCUACCUCUCAAUACAUGCAUGGUUCCUAUAAAAAGGGCAUUUAAGGAAAUACUAACUCUGUUAUAAAUGUGAAUUUGAGUGUACAAGAUUGGCUUUCUCAGGCAGCCUGUAGUGAGGAUGCACCUCUGUCUCAAGCUCUGUUUAUGUUUACUCAGUUUAUGAGUAAAUAUCUCUGGGAGCACUUCCAACAGGACACAGCAGGCAGCCUCAAUUAGAUAGGAGCUGUUGAAUGAGGGGAGGGAAUGACACACAAAAGAGAACACAUGAAUACCAGGACAACCUGUGAUAAUGUCAGUAGUAAUUCUCUAACCCAGCCUGUGCAGAUGAGGCAAAAUGAUUCAGAGUUGGUUUUAAGACAGGCAGGGACUGAAGCAGCCAGCACUAAGUAUGCAUAGCCCAUGAGCAGAAACUCUUCUAAUGGGUCUCCUGGCCCAGGACCUGCUGCUCCUGCUCCCAGCUGAGGAGAACAGAGCGGAAUCUGAGUCCUGAAGGCAUGACAAAACCCAAAGGGAGUGAGUGAGGCAUGCUGCUCUCAUCCUCCCUGCAGGGAAGGAAGGAUUGAACAAACGUUAAACCUAUUCAUUCCAGAAGAGAGUACAAGUCUGCAGAUGUAAAGCAGAAAGACUUACCCAAAAGAGGAAACGCUGGUGCGUGACAAGGAGCUGCACAUACAGGCAUAAGUGUUUCCUUCUCAGGGCAAGCACCCUGGGAAACCCAUGAGACAUAAGAAUAGGUCCUGAGCCUCUGUCACAUUGGCUGCCAGAUGGUUCACGGCAGUGCUGGUUGUAUGAAGAGCUGAUAAAAUCAGCUAUCAUCAGGCUCCAUCCUAUGCAAAGCUGCUCUGUGUGUCCUGCACACAGGGCUUUCUCUGAAUCAGUGAUGCAGCGGAAUUUCUGCUUACGUCUCAGUGCACGUUGGAAAGAACAUAACCUUUUAUUUUUAAAGCAAGAUUAUACCAAUCUACUGGGAGAGUGAAAUGGUGGGCAAUUUGGUGAAAUCCUCAGAGAUGCAUGGGGACACUGUGACAGCAGAGCCCCAGUUAGGCAGUUAUUUGCCCCUGAGAACAACACAGUUUGUGCUCAGAUGGUGAGGGUGCUGCCUCCAGCAUUGGGCUGCAGGUCUGCUCACUGAUAAAUGCACAAAUAUCUCAAAUGCUGGGGGGGUUAGACAAGCGUCCUGGACACCAGCAGACAUCAACGUGACUCCUGCACAGAGCUCUCACAUGGUUACUGCGUGCUCAAGUCUGGGUUUCCCAACAGAGAUUGCUGCUUGCUUCCUGCUAGCUGUCACCCGAGGAAAAACCUCUCUGAACCUCAGUAAGUAGCAGCAGGGAAACACCUUCCUCCAUGGUGCAGCUGCUAUGUUAAGCUCACCACAUCUUUGCAGGUGUGGCUGAUGCCCAGGUUGCUUUAGGUUGGCCGUGGUGUGCACGGUGUGCAGCCUCCGUGCUGAGGUACAGCACAGGCAAACCACCAGUGUGCCCUGCAGCGUGAAGGGCUCUGGCUGACAUUGGCUUUGGAGCUGGAGGUGUUGUCCCAAUGCAGUUCCCAGCGACCUGCCCUGUAGCUCAGGGCUUGCAAGUGUUGCUGGCCAGGAGCUCUCAGGCUGCGGGAGGAGGGAGGAAACUGGCAGAGGGUGUGAAAGCAGACCAGACAGCACAGAAGAAGUAUGGGUGAACAGUAAGCUUCCUCAGAGAGAUGCUGUGUGAUAAACUAGCACAUCCUCCAGCUGCUGAAAAUGCUUAAGGUGGGUCAGAGGCGAUGAGGUGAUGGCUGUGGUACCGGAGCAUCUCACUGCUCCUGCAGGAGUGGGAGCAGGCUGGGCCCGGAGGGAGAACAUCACAGCACAGCAGUGUGUCUGCCACAGGCUGAGGUAGGCUGGGAAGCUGGGAGGUGGGAGCAAGACCCAGGCUGGGCACAUUUUUCUGCAGCUCUUCCCUGGCCUUGAGCAGGGAGCUCGGAGAAAGCAAUGUGAGACAGAGGCUGGGGACACAGCAGGUGUCACAGCAGUACCGUGGUGGCCAACACCCAACUGGGGUGACAGUGAGAAUAGCUUAGUUUCUAGCCGCCACUUGCUGUUAGAAAGCAACCUGCAGUAAGCACAGGAAAGGAACAUCUCGGCAGUACAGGUGCUGAGCAGGACCAUGUGCAGCAGCAUCUGUGCUCAGUCAGAGAAGCCAGGCACUGAACUUCCUCCACACCCUCCCCACCACAGCAGGCCCCUGAGCAUGGAGAACAAGACAACAAGACAGGGUGAAGUUACCUGUGGAUGUAAAGUCACAACAGGUUCUGGCGGCAGUCUAGCAGGAGUGGGGCCAGAAGGGCUGUGGUCAGGCACACAUGAUGCACCUGAACUGACAGCUCGCAAGUACUUGAAGGCUUCUAUAGUAACUCCUCCUCCUGCGUGAGAAAGGAUCUCAUAUCUGCUUUUUUCUGAAAGAUAAGAUCAUCUGCUAGCUGUAAUGCUUUCCAUGAGGAUUCGUUGCCUCAUCACUUGGUACUGAUUAGAAGUGUGGUCACUGGCUAGCUGGUGUGCUCAGUAAAUGCAGAGCUGGGCUGCUGUGCUGACAGCCAGGAAGGUGCAGCAUCUGUUACUGGCUCACUCGAGCAGCUGGAGGUGCAAGGCCAUCCUUGCGCAGCCCUAGGCAGUUCAGUGCAUGGCACAGGCAAUCCGUGGGGGGAAAACAUCUCGCAGCCUCCUUAGACGGAUGUUUGUUGCAUGGGGCAGUGGUGCAGCAGGAGAUGGCUGUGAUGGCAGGGCUCCAGCUGCUCCCCUGCCUUCAGGCUGGCCCUGGGCCCGGGGGGCUCCACCAUGGGCUUGAGGCAGAGCUUCACUUGUCAGAUCCUGCUCUGGCAGAAGUGGAUGAGGGAGAGGCAGCUGUAAGCCCCAAAGGGCCCAGAGAUGGGUUGUCUAACUGGUGGUAGCACUGAGCAUGCCUUAGGGCUGGUGGGGAAUGGGCUCACUGCCCACUGACCCUCAGUACCCGACCAGCCGUAACGCUUCUUUGGUGCAGGGCUGCUGUUGAUGGUUGGCUGUUCAUAAGAGGGCGCGCAGGGUACUCCACCUGCUCAAAAAGUGGGUGCCCUGGGGGUGCAGAUCAGGGCACCCAACAGAAGGUCAUGGAGAUGAAACCCACUCACACUGCUCCACUUAUGUGGAGGCUUACACACCUUGCAUUCACCCCAUAAUAAGCACAGAGAUGUGCUGAAUGGAAGAAGGCACAGGGGAAGGGAGCAAAGGGUUCCCUGGGGGUUCAGGGUAGCAGUGGGCUUCAGUGUCUGGUAGAAAUGAUGCAGUGGAAACUAUCACAGCAGGGUAAUUUCCUUCCAUGAGAGACUUGUUGAUAAACACGUUUGUGUCCGCAGAGGGUAAGAAACCAGUAUGAAAAUGAGUCAUCCAACUGAGGGUUGGUUCUGUAGGAUCUCAGUCUGGAGCCAGACUGCUCCUUUGGGGCCGGGGGUGUUGUGCCCACGGCCCCCUGUGAUUGGGCACCCAGUGUUUGCACUGGCAGUGCAGCAAGUUAAGCUGUUGUAAAGAGUCUUAUGAGGCACAGGACACGGCCGCGUUGCCACAUAUGCACCUCUACACAUAGAUCCUGCUGUUUCAGUUAGCAGCAGAACGAUGACACCAGGCUGAAAGGAGCAGUUUGCUGUAGCUGUGCUCACCAUCCACCAGUCCCAAAGAGGCCUCCUCUCCAGCCAGUUGGGCAUAAGUGCACUGCUUUCCCCUGCUGCCUGUGUUUGUGAGAGAAGCAAAGCCUUCAGCCUUGGCCAUCUCCAUGCUGAUGGUGCCCACGCUCCCCCCGAUGUGUGUGCUCAGGCAUGAACUCUGCCAUGCAAAGUGGCACAGGAUGGGCAGUGACUCAUGGGUUGCACAGCUGUCACCCACCUACAGGUGGCUGCGGCUGCCUCACUGCAUGGUGGGGAGCUCCUGCAGGAUGAGGAACUCUCACAGUGUGGGCACGUGUCCUGUCCACGGGUCUCCCUUUGGGGUCCUGAAGGCCAUUUUGGGGAGAAGCCCUGUCUAUCAUGAGGCGCAGUGCAGUGCAGGGCCAAGGGACAGCCUGCACCUGGGGUCGGUGACCCACUGUGACCUCACGACAGCCCUGGUGCUAAGGAGAACUGCUCUGAGCUGAGGAGAACAGGGAGCUGCUCCCCUAGGAGCCAGAAAACGAGCGAGCUUGUAAACAUGCUGAUCAACACGCUGAGGUCACUGAGCCUAGAAGGCCUUUGAGUUUUCUAUUGAAAACAUCACGAACUUUUCUCUGUUAAACCAGUAGAAAAAAUAGUGCUGGCCAUUGGUCAAUAGUGUGGUCACUGCUAUGUACUUUGCAGUCACAGAACUGCUCUGCCCUAUGCUGCCAUCCAUGGAGGGUGGGUGUAGCAGAAAUGCUAAGCCAUGGCUUGAAGCAGUGAUUGCGGACCUGCUGGAAGGCAGGGCCAACCCAGGGGAGUUCAGGUGCAUGCAAUGUACCUGAGUGACUGGAAGGGUGGAGCCAGGAUGCACCCCUCCCCAGACCUCAUUUAAGGGCUGGUAUAGGAGGUGAAGGUACCUUGCUGGAGAUCCCUGCAUCCCUGAGGUCUUCUAAAGGUAAGCUGAUUUUUCUUCUUUUGUUUCUGCAUUCUCAGCUGCUGCUACGCUUGGGCUUGUUCUUACUUGCUGCAAUCUCAAACUGUGCCACCCUGCUAUUAUUGCUGUACUUUCCAUCACAUUAUAGCCUUACAGCACUGCAGUGGAUCUGCUGGGUUGGUUGCCAAACAAGAGGCUUCAAUCUCAGCUCCUACAAAUUCACAGCAAUAAGACUUUUCCCUGUAGGAGCUCUGGUCCUUUGAGGGCACCCAAAAAGGCCUUACAAGCUUCCCAUCCCUAUAGCAAUAGAUUACAACUCAGACUAUAGCCAUCGUCUGCCCAGAGGACAGUGAUGAGGGACAAGGCUUUUUGCCUGCUGCCCAGGUGAGCUUUACUAGGGGCAGUCUGCCUGUUCCAAGAUAUGGACAACUUCACUGCAAGAAACAAAACCAGAAAAAAUUGACUCUUUUUUUCAUUAAAGACCUUCUCAGCUCUUCUUCACAUCUUCAUCAGCCUCCUACCACAUCCCAGGAUGGAAGGAUGCUAGCACAGAUUACAUCUGUCUGUACGUUGAUAAAAUAUAGUGCACUACGCAAGACGAGGUGGUGUGGUUUUGGUUGUGGUGUGAAACAGGAGGAACACCUACGUGGGAUGAUGCCAAACAUCAUGUGACACACUUGAGUGACCUUUGAUCAUACCACCUUUAACAAGGCAGCAAAGCAGACACCCUCAACCCUAUUUUUUUUUCUGGUUUCCUUCCCACAUUUCAACCAUGAAGAUUUCAGUCCUGUGUCUAUAGUCCAGAAGGCCACAUUGUGGUGCCUUCAUUUGGAUGUAGAAGGACUUUGCCGUGGCUGGGUGAUGAUACCAGCCAAGGACAACAGAUAGUUUUUCCUCACGGUGCAUGCUAGUAAGCAUUCAAUAUAAUCAAGCUCUCUAAUUAGAAUAACUAGAUUCAAAGCAAGUAGUGCUGCCUUGAGCCUGCUGGGUGGCACACACUGUAAAGUGUAAUAGGUCAGUGAUCAGACUGACUGGUAAGCUCUGCAUGGUGGCUUUUUAGAGUGAAAGACUAAGUUGUUCACAUCUGUUCUGCUUACCAGCACAGGGAAGCAUGCAUCUAAAUAUCUACUGUUCUUUUUUUUUCUGGAGCUGCACUGGGUGUGCACGCAGUGAGUACAAGAGAGUAGCAGAGAGCGUGGAUGUGGCAGGUGGGCACAGCCUCAGAGAGAGGCACGCAUCCCCUCUGCAUGGACACAGCGUGGGGAAAACGUGACUGGGGAAGUUCAGCUCUACACUCUGCUGCUUGGAUGUGUUGGCUUCCAGAGUCACUGAGGCCCAUGUGUGUCAGCACUGAGAACUGCAGGCAGCAUGACACAAAGCCAUGGACCUCACACCACCAUUGGCUGCUCUCCCUGUUCCCUUCCUAAAAUCAAGACAGCUUUGUCAGCGUAGACAUGGAAUCUCAUGUGAAGACCUCUGCACUUCAUAGAAAGAACGGACGAUACUCAACAGGAAAUGUGGUGAGGAUGAUGCUGUCCAGCUGAUAGGGCUGCUCGCUGUGAGCUGCAGGAUCCAGGGAGCGUGCAGUGCUGGGAAGAGCAAGCAAACUGCAGUGUGCUGGAUCCCAUGGAGCAAGGAACUGGAGCCUGGGGCUUUGUGUGCCUUGCUCUGACACCUCACCUGUGUGAGAGCCUUUGACCACAGCUUCUUACUCAGGAAAGCAGCAAAUUUCCCCUCAUUUCCCUUGUGUGAAAGUCUGUCUGCAAAACAUGUUUGAGAUGCAAGCGAUACGGACAGCGAGACAGCAGAUGAACACGUCAUGACCUCAGUGCCAUCGGCUGCCUGUUGGGGGCAGGGCUUUCCUUGGUGUGCUGCUAAAAGGGACUGCUAAGUGUGCCCAAGCUUUGCUGCUGUAAUAGUCACAGCAGCCUCUUAUUUGGGCUCCUGACCCUUCUCCUCUUCCCACUGUCCUUUGUUUAGAAUAGCCAUUCAUUGCAGUAUUGGUGGUUUGGGGGCAGGAAAACUCUCAUGGGCAGCUGAAUGUAGAACCAUCCCAUGAGUUUUCUUGUCUGGGGACAGCCAAAGGAAAAGUCCAGGAGGAGAAUGGGGGGGCAGCAAGAGAGCUGUCUUAAUUCCACCUAAACAUCCCAGACUGUCUGUGUGAUGUGUAUGUACAGCAGCCUGGCUAACACACUGAUAAGGAGAGCAGAAACCACCGCCACCCUCCCCGGGUUUACCCCAGGUGCCCUAUUUCCUUUGACAUAACUAAAGUUCACAUACCCACACUGCAGGCUGUGCUCCUUGCACUGCUGCAGAUCCCCACUUUCACUCUUGGGCAGACUUCUCAUACAGAAACGGUUGGUGCCAGUAAGCCUGACCAAAAACCACGCUGCGUGCUCAAGGCAGGGAAGCUAUCAGCUCAGCUUGGUUACGUGCUUAAUUCAAUGGAUUGUGGUUCCUCCUUUCCCUUCCUCUCAGUUAUGUUUCAUUGCAAACCUUUUCUCACAGGAAACCUCUUGCCUUGCUCUCCUGAUUCCUGCUCGCUGAAUUGCUUUUCCUCUAAACCGCUGUAGGUCUUGGUCUUGCUUUCAGUCUGUUGAGGAGCAGUUAAUUAACACUACUGUUUUUCUAAUCAUUCUGUUAGGCGCUGGAACAACUGGCCGUGCUCAGAGGAAAACAGCACUGUUAGCAGCACAGGGUUUUGCUGGGGGGACCUGCAGCCUCUCGAGGACUUGGGCAGCCCUGCAGUGUGUGGGCAGCAACGUUUCCCGUGACAUUUGGAUGCUUGCUGCUCUGUGGUGCCAAGCCCCUGCUUAGAGCAAUAGCACGUCCUGCAGAGCAAGGAAUUGGCCCUACUACUGCAGGAGGGUUGCAAGCCACGCUGGGGAUGUUUUUACGCCUUGCAAAUGCAAAGCAAUCCAGCCCAGAAUAACCUGGGGUUCAAAACGCCCAGCUCUCCAAACGGACUCUUGGCAUCGCUGCCAUCAGCCAAAACCUGGCACAAGAAGCAGAACCAGACCUGCUGCAGCCGUGGGCUUUCAGUGGGUUACAGAUUCUUGUGCUUCAAGAAAAUAGUGCCUCCAGAGUGGCUGGAAUUUGUACCAGAUGUGCAAAAAUGUGGCUGAGCUGGGGAACUUUUCUUCCACUCAAGAGUUAUGGUGGGCUUGCUGCUGAUCUCCCCUUGCCCAUUAUGUGCCCUCUCUGAUGAUCCAUGCUGUGACCUGUCAUAAGGCAACUAAUGCAAAGGUUAAUGGAAGGAAAAUGCCUAAUAAGUGAAUCCCUUGGACUUGGAGGGAGACAAUGGAGUGGGAUCUCUCCUGGGAAACAUCUUGUAACUAUGACUGAUGGGAGACCAGAAAUUUCUUAAGGAUCUUGACCCUUAUACUACUCUAUACCAGGUCUCCAAUUUCCCUCGCUGACCGUGGAAGUCACAUAUGUGAAGGCAGAAAUGCUUCAGGGAGAACUGCAGAAGUGGGAGGACAGAGAAACCUUUUGGCCCUGCAGGAUGAAAAUAAUCCCUUCUGACUGCUGGCAAAGAAACCCAAACCUGCCUUGCUUACCUGCAAAGCCAUUUCCUGGCAGUAUCGCAUUGAAAACUGCAAGGUAUGUUUUAGGCAGGGAGAAAAACCUUAAAAAGUGAAGGGAGUAUUGCGUGCUAUGGGUUUGUCUGCCUUUCUGCCCUUACCUGAAGCAGGAGCAAAGGGUCCUACGGGUUUCCUUUCCUAAAACAACCAAAUGAAUUCAAUACGGCGCCUCUUCCCCAAAGCCCCCAGAUCAAGUGCUCCUGCUGCAAACACCUCUUCUUCCCUUGUGGCAUCCCCUCCCGCAUGCCACAACCCGGCUGCUCCAUCACACAGCCUGAGUGAAGCCUUACACCACCUGGUGGCUAAAAAGAAUUAAAUAAAAAAGAAAUUGGAGCACGAGGAAACUAUCAUACAAAUCUCAGAUCACCUGCUGGAAAUACAGUACUCACAGGUAAGUGCUGACUGCUAGGGAAACUUUCAACGGAAGUAUUAACUUCUAUAUAGGUCCGUGUAUACCUCUGAUUUUAAGUCUGGCAGCAAGGGGGGGGGGUGUUUCCACUGCAGCAUGAGUUCCCAGCCAGCACAACGUGUCCACGAGGCCGUCCAUCAGCUCUGCCUGCAGCCGCCUCUUGGAGGAGGAGGAGGAGGUGGUGCGGCUGCCUCUGCCUGUGCUCAGCCCCCGGGUGAGCUCCCUCAUUUUGGCUGCUGUGUGAGCAACGUUAUCCUUUCUCCCUUAUUUAUUCAUUUCUUUGUAAUAUACAUUCCCCCAGGAAACUGCCUGGAACACCAAAGAGGAUUUCCCAUAGCUCACCACUGAAAAGCAUCCCAACACCGAGAGCUGAUCGUGCUGAUUAAACCUCUGCUCACCGGCUUGUUCUGGAUUCCUGUGCCCACAGCCCUCACCCUGCAAAGACAGCCAUGCACCACUUCCAACACGUGAGACAGACACCAGCUAAAUCAGUGGAGGCAGCUCAGAAAUCACAGACCGUUAGUAAUGCAUUGAUGGCUUUGAAGGAUCACUGCAUGAAACAGCACAGACCCUGUGGAGCAGUGCCCGUCUCCACAAAUGCUUGCUUUACUCAUCUUUCUGCUAGAUAGACUGUUUUGAUGCAGCAGGCAGACCAAUUAAACUGGACUUAACCCUGUCAGACAUCCCUUAGGCCAGCCAUAAACUUAGAAUCAUAGUCACAGAAUGGUAUGGGUUGGGAGGGAUCUCAAAGACCACCUAGUUCCACCCCUUGCUGUGGGCAAAACCCACAAGACAAGAAACCACAAGACAACCACGAAAUCAGGCACCAGACCCAGCUGCCCAGGGCCCCAUCCAACCUGGCCUUGAGCACCUGCAGGGAUGGGGUAGGUUAGCUAUGUGCUAAGCUUGACUGCGGCUUUCUUGGCCCCUGAGUAAAUGCCAGCAAUGCCCCUCUCAGAGCUAGAGCCCCAAACGGAGGAGUUUCCCUCCUGCAGCAUCCCUGCCGAGUCCCUGCAAGGCAGGGCUGGUUGCUGAGCAGGGACAGGAUGGGCCCCAUGGCAGCCAGGACCCCUCGUUACGUGAUGCAGCUUUUGUUUAACUCUCAUUUCUCAGUAUUUCCGAUCUGAUUUCUAGUCCAGGCUUGCCUCUGCCACCCCUCUCUGUUAUUGUUCAGGGAUCUGUGAUCCAGAAAGCAGUCUGGAUAAAGUAACCACCGCAUCGAGUGCCUCCAGGCAAGGGCUACGUGAAGGUUAAAGAGAUAAGAGAGACUCCCAGUCCGUAACUGCAGAGAGAUAGCUGAUAAGAGUCUCACCUGUGCUCUCCUUUCGCAGGAGGGGUUGGAAAGGGAGCCCCAAAUCCCACGUAACCACUGCUUCAGGGAGAGAACACCCGUGGAGCACACAAAGCACAGCAGAGAGCGGGGGGCAGCCCGCAGCAUCCCUGCAGGAGCACGCAGCAGUGGCUUCUUGGGAGCAAAUCAGUUUGACGUUAGCAUUCACCAGCGGUGUAACCAGCAGUACUGUGGGGUGGCUGACGAGGAGGCAAGCGUGCAGCCUUAUCUGCUUUUCAGCACCUUCGAUGACUGAGGAAUAGACAGGUUGCUCCAGAAGUAACGCCUCCUCAUUAUUUAUUAUGGAAACUACAACAAAGAGCACAACAACACUGUUUGAUAGAGCAAAUUCUCAGCUACAGAACACUGUUUUUUUGUUGUUUUUUUUUUUUUUUUUUUUCCUGCAUAGUUACCACCUCUAGCUGUGCAUCUUCACCAGCAUGGGAGAACUCAAUGACACGGCUUUGCUUCACACACACUUGCACGCCAGGCGCCAUUCCGUCAGGCUUCCUUCCAUCUCUUACGCAGCAGCAAAAUGUAAUGGGAUGCUGGUGGGAAGGUUCAAUCUCUACUGCCAUCCCACCAACAUCACCUUGGACGUCCACCCGCGUGCCUUGGGCUGGGCCCUGCCCAUCAGAGCCGAAGCACAGCACGAUGGCUGUGCAGGCCCGUGUCCCCGGGUGAGGUUCUCAGGCCUGCUCUGCAGAGCGGGGCCCGCUGGGCCUUCUGAGAGCAAGCUGCUCUAUAAAUAGGCCAUGAGAAACAUCUCACGGGUUCAAAAUUAGCAAGCAAAACACUGAGGUCUCAAAUAUCUCAGCAGGAGGUUUCACAAUCUUUUUCCAUGCUCUGACAUAGCCCUAUCCAUGAGCGGAGGGCUGUGCCACAGGCAGGGCCGCACGUGGGGGCCCAGCUCAGGGACACACAGCAUGUCAGGGUCCAAAGCAUCCCCUGUGCACCACACAGGGAGCAAAGAGCGCUUUCUGGUCAUGUGCCUCCUACUGCAGCCCCCCAAAAAGAUAAAUCACGGCUUUUGGCCUUGAAAUAGCUGUUUACAACUGAAUUACAUUAUGAUAGAGGGAGCAAAAAAGCCAGGACAAUUCACUCAGGUUUGGUAAAUACCUGGACUUUCUCUGUUGCAGGAAGGUAUUGUGAGUUGCUCUCUCAGCCCAUGUUGGUUCAUGCGUUGGUAAAACCAUCCUCAGUGCCAUUAAACUCCUCCAGGCUGUGCCCGAGUGCCUCAGGAGGCACCGAGCUGCAGUGCAUUACACUUCCAGCUGCUGCGAGCUCUUACAGCAGGACUUCAGACCCACAGAAACCCAUCACAGGCUCAAAGGCAGGAAGCAAAGAAAGCCUUGAUGUGUUUCCCCUCAUCUCAUCUCUGGCAUUUGCAGCAUCUCCAACUGAAAAAAGAUGAACGAUGACUGCAGGUGACCACUUGUGGACCAUCAGCUGAAGCGUGGAAAUAAUCAGGAAUUUCACCAACGUGCAUUUGGAGCGUGGUGACAAUAAAGCAGCACCGGCUGAAGAACUUUGCUUUCCUUACCUUUGCUGAGAAACACGGUGAUAAUUAACAUAGAAGGAGCACUUGACUGCUACCAGAAGAGCUCCCUGGGUCUUACCGAGCCCUUCAUUAACCCACAUACCAGAAGUGGUGCUUUCCUGCAGCCUGGGAAGAACCACUCUCUUGAAAAACACAAUGAAACAAACCAUCCACAAGCAGAACUGCAGUGGUUAAGCAGUUACAAGCCAAAUCCACCCUACUUGCCUGAAUCCACUGUGGUGUACUGAGAUAAAACCCAUUUGCUGGGACUGUUUAAUCCAGAUAUGGACCCACAGCUUUAAAAUUCUGAAAUAAACCCAUAAGGUCGAUCUAUCACACUACACUGCAAACGUAACUUCGCUUGACUGACGCUUCCUGAGGCAGCAAAUUAGAUCUAUUGUUUAUUUUAAAACUUACUGUUGGCCUGAGGCUUUGAAUGUGAAAGAACGCCCGUAGAGAUGGCCCUACACCUGCCCAUCAUCCAGAGACCCUGCUCACCCUGAGCUGAACCCAUUCCCCAUGGCAUUUUCCAGGCCUCCACCUACCUGACUUCCCCUUUGGUGCCCAACCAGGGGAGAGGCGCAACCCCACAUUGCCUCAGAGCGUUGCUCAUUAACCUGGAAGGUCACAGACACGUCUGGCAAACAGACAUUGGUGUUUCCAAGAACAAGACUGGGUGUUUGUUUUAGCUGUACUUCUCCAAAUUCAUUUCCAGAUAAGGAUGAAGCAAUUAAGGCAUGAAGCACAAAAACCCAGCUAGGCCUGUGGGAACACGUCUUCCGGCAACCAGGAAGAAAACAGCAGCAGCCAUCGAGGCGGAGGUUUGUCUGCAGGAUGAGCAUGAGAUGCAGGAGGCAGCACAGCACCCUCCUACACAACCAGCUCAGAGCCUGCAGCUCCCCGGGUCAGCCCUCAGCUCCGGCUCUGGGUCACCUCCGCACUCCAGCACUGCCCUGCUGCAGCUCCGGAGGGAUUCCACCUGAGCUCUCUGUGCUGAUAGCGCGUGGCCGGUUCACGUGCUGCUGCCCUUCAGACAUCGACUCACCCUGUCACGACCUUUCCCCACACCAGCAGGCCAUCCCAAAGCAAACACCAUUUCCCUGCAGGGCAGUAAGGCCAGCAAACUCAGUUGCAGCUAAGGCAGCUAUUCGCACCAGGGCAUUCAAAGCAAGGCUGCAGCCACAGGCGCUGUGGAUUUCACGGUGAGAAUACCUCAAGCAUCUUCACCUUCAUCUUCCCACCAACCUCACCUAAGUAUGCCUUUAAAUAGCAUUCUCUGUUCUGAAGAACAGAUACUUAUCUACCUGUGUUUCUCAACAACCAGGAAAUAGCAAUCCCAAGCUAUCUGGGUAGCAAACCAUUUCUUUAGCAGGUUUGUGCUGGAGCACCGUGCUCCUUGCAUGGCCAGCCCUUCUCCUGAGCAGGACAGAAGAGUCCCCCAUUGCCUCCCCAAGCAUCCAGCUUCCUGCAGUAAAUACACACGUCCAGCUGCUCUGUAAAGAAGCCAUAGCCCAGAGACACACCACACACAUCUCUUCUUCCUUUUGGCCCAUUUCAGUUCGAGAUCAGAGUGUUUUUAUCAUUACUGCUCGUCGCAGCAAGGAGCAAUGCUGGAUAAAUUAAUCUCUAAUUGGAGAAGUGACUCAGAGAUGAAGAGAGGCACAGAGUCCUGGGAGAAUAACUGCUAAUAGCUCCAGCUUCCAGGGAGAAAGCGUGCCAGAAAAUUAGAAUUAGGGGGAAAAAAAAAGGGAUGUGAACAUGGCUCACCCCUCCUGCACAUAUUUAAAUGGCUGAGAUGAGAACUAAAAUGGCUGUACUUUCCCAAGUGAUGGCAAACAGACAGGACCCCAUACCCCAGCACGUCUCCUGCACGCCCGUGGUGAGGAAGAGGGCAGCCAGCUUCUUGCCUCUUCCUCUCAUAUAGGUGUAUGCACACCUCACGUGGCAAUAAAGGCCAGCAGAGCAGAAGCAGACUCCUUAUGUGACAUUGAACACCACAAACCCAGCUAUGUGAGGAGCACAGCGGCACAUCAGCGCGGAGCAUCUCGCUCAGGUUAAGGCAGCAGGCACGGAGACCCUCAGCUUUGUGAAUGGAAACCAAUUCCCAAACACUGCAGGAUCUCUGUUGUGUGUUCAGUUCAGCAGAACGGCUUUUACAUGCUAACCCUGCAGCAAAACUGCACUGACACCGAUGGCUGCCAGCCCGGACCCGGAGUGCUGAGCUGCAGGAGAGGCACUGCUUAAAUGCCAUUUCCUUGAAACCCAAUUCGCAGCGCUCCCCUUCUCACAGAAAAUGCCAUUUCUUGCUAACUUCUACCAUGUAUUUGUCAAGGUUUUUCAUUUUUAGUGCUUGCCAAUGCCGUCAGAGCAAGCACCUUCCCCCAGCAUGGGAUGAGCUGCAGCGAGGGCUGUCGGGCUGGCUGCACCCUGGGGACCCUGCCACAGCUUCAGCCUGGCCAGGGCCCUCAUACUUCAAGCGUGAGGUACAUCAGCAGGUAAAUAGAGAGCAAAUUUUUAACCUGCAGUUAAGCAAGAGGUGGUGUGGGACUCUCCAGCUUUGAGCAAGCAGUGACUCCUGAGGGGUGCUUUAGGUGCGUGGUCAGACCGAUGGCACCAACUCAACGCUCACAGCAGCAGUGCAACACGCAGCAGUGCUGCAAAGGCCCUGCAGCCUCAGCCCUCUGUGGGAGCAAAACAUGAACCGUUUCUGGGCUUUGCCGAUCUCUGAACCAUGACCUCAUCACAAUCAAAAUCUUUAAGCCAGGGGAAUAGUCAGGCGUUGCCAACUGCUCCCGAAUUUAGUGUCAAGAACCACCGUUCUCCCAGAGAGAAGAUGGAAUGGGGCAGGGUGGAGUGGGAUGGGAUGGCUAACCUGGCUGCUUAUCACACCCACCUAUCAAAUACGUUCGAGUUCAAAGCUGUUUGCAGGAGUCUAAGAGGAGCAGGGGUGCCGCUGUGACCUUUGCCAAAAUGAAAAUCAAAUCCUGAGCAGCACACACUUAGGUGUGUGUCUUCUUUGCAGUGUACACGUAGGACAUGGCCCAUCUCCAGGGAUCUCCUAGUGACCUGUUCCAGCAGGGUCCCACAAUGGCAUGCAUCCACUGUUGACUUUAGAAAGUGGAUGAAAGCCACGUAUUUUGAUAGGCUCUGAUUCCUUAAGGCAAAAGAAAAGAAAGCAGAACAAAAGAAUAAAGGAUAAAACCGUAUCAAC